GAUGAACGCUGGCGGCGUGCCUAAUACAUGCAAGUCGAGCGAACAGACGAGGAGCUUGCUCCUCUGACGUUAGCGGCGGACGGGUGAGUAACACGUGGAUAACCUACCUAUAAGACUGGGAUAACUUCGGGAAACCGGAGCUAAUACCGGAUAAUAUAUUGAACCGCAUGGUUCAAUAGUGAAAGACGGUUUUGCUGUCACUUAUAGAUGGAUCCGCGCCGCGUUAGCUAGUUGGUAAGUUAACGGCUUACCAAGGCAACGAUGCGUAGCCGACCUGAGAGGGUGAGCGGCCACACUGGAACUGAGACACGGUCCAGACUCCUACGGGAGGCAGCAGUAGGGAAUCUUCCGCAAUGGGCGAAAGCCUGACGGAGCAACGCCGCGUGAGUGAUGAAGGUCUUCGGAUCGUAAAACUCUGUUAUUAGGGAAGAACAAAUGUGUAAGUAACUAUGCACGUCUUGACGGUACCUAAUCAGAAAGCCACGGCUACCUACGUGCCAGCCGCCGCAGUAA
rnacentral:rRNA from 1 species